UCUUCUUCUUCUUCUUCUUCUAGCUUCUUCACCCACCACUUCUUCUUCUUCACCACCACCACCCCCCACUCCGGUUCUUCUACCUCCGCCACCACCACCUGCUUCGGCGAGAUCGAUCCGACAAAACAAAAAAAACUAAAAACAAAAUAAAAAAGAAACAGCAAAAUAAAUUUUUUUAUUUAAAUUACAACAUUUUUUAUUAAAAAUGAAAAUCAAAUUAAAUUAAUUAAAAUAUUUUUUUAUAUUUUGAAAACACUUAAGUGACGAAAUAUUUCGUCGCUUAAGUUGGAAAUGUUCGUCGCAUAAGUCUAUGCGACGAAUUUUUUUUCGUCACUUAGGAGGCACUUAUGCGACGAAUUACAUUUUUCGUCGCUAAGUAGUUUAGCGACGAAAUGUAAUUCGUCGCUUAAGAGGAACAUAAGCGACGAAAAUACAUUUUUCGUCGCUAGGUACUUAUGCGACACCACCUAUGCGACGACUCUUAAGCGACGAAAUUUUCGUCUCAUAAGUACUUAUUUGACGAAAUUUUACUUUUAAGCGACGAAACCAUUUCGUCACAUAAGUCCUAACUUCUAGUAGUGGAAGAGCAGCUGGGCGGACGUUGUGCAUGGGGGAAGGUACAUUGGGAAGUUAAUGAAAAAACAAAAUUGUAUGUGAUAUUAAUAAUAUUUCUAAUAUUUUUGUUGUAUCUGUAGGUACAAGGAGUGGAAGAACGAGUUGCGGACCCACUGGACUACGCACGGGAACGCAUGUUCUGGUACCCCUGCUGAGUUCCAGUACAGGGAGUACAAGUGGCGUUGGCUUCUGACAUCAGAAUUCAACAACCCUCGUAAACAGGUAUUUAAAAAAAUUAAUUAGUUAAUUUGUCAUUAAGUACGUGCGUUUUUAAAUAUUUUACUAAUAGUUUAUUUUUUCUUUGAAUGCCGUUUCCCGGGCGAACGCUCAGAACCGGCACCGCAACACAAGGAACCAUCGUGCCGGUUCUAGACUGUUCUCUGUCUUCAUGGACGAGGCGGUCAGGGAACAUCCAGAAGUCACCCGGUACGUCUAUACGUACGAGAAGACAUAUCCUGACGCCCAAGAGGAUAUUGUAAGU
rnacentral:lncRNA from 1 species